UGGCUGAGUUGUAAGGCACUUGUCUUCUGAACUGGGGUUCCCAGGUUCGAAUCCUGG
rnacentral:tRNA from 1 species